GCGUCAAUAGUGCAACGGAUUAGAGCACGCGUUCCUGGAGAGAGUGAGUUUCGGGUUCGAAUCCCGCCUGACGCA